ACGCAUGGCAUGGCAUU
rnacentral:piRNA from 1 species